rnacentral:lncRNA from 10 species
AGAGCAAAGCUUAUCUGUCAUCACCGUGAUGGGAAGGGCCUUUCCAGGUCUUGGCUGGUCCUAUUGUGAGAGCCCUGGCUGAGCUGGGCUGGUCCCUGGGCCUGGGGGCUUUGUGCUAGUGUCCCUGUUAUGCUCGGUCAUGCUUGGUCCUUGGGGUCACCUGUUGCUUCUGUGCACCAUUUCAGCCAUAUCCUUCCAGUUCAAAGUCUUUGCAUUCUUCAGUUUCUGUGUCCAGAUCUUAAGUCUCUUCUAGACUAUGGCUGUUCUUAGAACCUCUCUGUUCCCCCUUGGGAUAAGCAGGAACUUCUGGAAUCCCUGCAUACAUUGGUCAGCCCUUGGGAAACUGGAAACAUAUUCUUAGUCCCAUAUGCCUGAUCACCUCCCUCAUUUUUUCUAAUCUGUAGCUCAAGUGCCAGAUGAAUGUGGAAUUCUCUGUGAGGCUGGUAGCCUCAUAAAGGGAAGCCGGGCCAAGGUCCUGUCUAUUUUGGGGUCCUCAGGAGCUUAUCUGGAUCUUUUAUUGCACUUUGCCUCCUGUUUCUUCUUUAGUUUUUGGCUCUGGAGUUGAGGGUGUGUGUAGGAACUCUAUCUCAACUCCUGCGCCAACUUUUCCAGCUCCUCCUUUCAACACUAUCUGCCUGGCUAGCAAGGAAAGGAGCUGGGUCACUAAGAAAUACUCAAAGAGGUGGUUGGGUGGGUGGGUAGAUGAUGGUAGGAGGUGGCAAACGUUUGGGUGGGGAUCUAAAGGGACAGUUAAUUCAGUCUAGACAGGUUGACUUUGAGGUAUCUAAGUAUUCCAAGACAUCCUGCAUUUGACAGUUGGGAGAAAGAGGGUUUGGAGAUCAAGAGGGAUUGUGGCCAGAGUUACUGGUUGUGGGUGUUUGAGACAAUGGGAAUGGAUAAGUUUAAGGAAGGCACGUAGGAAGAGGAAAGUGGGCAAGAGCAGUUAGAGGAAGGAGAGCUGGAAGAAAUGUAGGUUAGGAGUGUUUGGAGAGGUAGGAGGAGAAAACGGAGAUCGCACUUACUCUCCAGAGUGAAGCCUGAGCUCUAGUCAUAUACAGAUCCCACAGACCUUGGAGAGCUUCUUGCAAGGCUCAGCUCACAAAACCUCACUUAAAAAACAAUUCUCUGAAGUUCAUCUUGCCGUUCAAAUAAGAGAGAAAUAUAUUAGGCAAGCUGAGAUGUAAACUGAAUUAUUGAUGCGGUAGCUUUUUAAAGGGAAGGCAACAUUAGCCUUAGGUUUAAGGACAUCUUUGGUUUAGGGACAGCAAAUCCUACCAUGACCUACCUUUGUAACAUUUUAAAUUUCAGCUCACAUUUCAGCACCAAAGGACCAAAGCCUAGACCUGAGAUCUGGCACUUGCAAAAAGAAAGAUCACCUGGAAGAACAAAAUAGAAGACUCCUGCUCCCAAUAGGCUUGGGUCAGGAAGAAGGCUGUUGGCAUAAUUGUGGAGUAGGAAGAUGGAAAACAACUCCUAGAGAUCCCAACAGCUGAACGCGUGCUUGGGCAGUGGCUGCGGGUGAAGUCAUGGGAAGGCAAGUCAUGAAGGGCAUUAAUCAAGGUAAAAGCAAAAGGAAAAUGAGGUUCUUCAGGGCACAGUGUGUGGGAAGCAACAGCAUGAUGGAAUCAUUAGGAGAGAUGCCCAUGACUCCUGCGCCCAGCAGGAGUUGUUUCUGCAGGGGUCCCUGCUUCCAUCUCCUAAGUUGCAGGCAGAGAGGGCAGAAGCCAGGAUCAUCAAUACCCAAGAGGGAGCAUCGAAGAGUGCAUGCUUCCUCUACUAUGUCGUGAUAUAGAUGGAGGCCAGGAUUUGGGAGCUUUGGAACACAUCUCUCCCAGGCCUGAUUGUUAGGAGAGGACUUAGGCAAGGUGUGGGCAAUGCUGGUGCUUCACCUUUCCUUGUUGACCAGACAGACCCAGAAGGGUCAUUUGUCAAAACAAAGAAAAUCUCUUCCAGGGGUGAGGCAGGUGUGGCUGCCUGUAUGUGAAUGUGCUGCACACCUUUCCCAUCAGCAGGUGUCUGAGACCCUACUCUCCUCCUGACUUUGUUGGCCCGAGCAUCAGCCUGUGAGGUCCAGCACCCAGAGCCCAAAUCUUCUGGCUCCUAGGCUGGCACACAACCUAACAACAAUUCCUGUGCCUUCAUAUUUUCAUCUCUGCAAGGAGGAUAGUAGAAAUAGCUCUCAAGUAGGGAAUGAUGACUGCAUUUGAGAACAGGGCAAAAAUAAAAUCUGAAAAUUGAACAUCUUGUCACUAGGCAGUUGUAACACAUUUUGAAGAUUAUGAGCUAAUCAAAAUUACACAGGUAUUCUGCUCUGGAAAUGCUCAACAACCGGACAGGAUGUUUUUGAAUGCGGUAAUAAAAAUUAUCUCUAGGAGCAAAACCUACUGAAUCUUAAACAUUCCCGCCAGAGAAGGAACACUCUCCAAGUCCUCCUCAGUUUACACCAAAGAAUUCCACAUAAUUCAUUUCUGUUGUGGUAGUUAGUAAAACCUUACGAUAUACACAGGUCAGAGCCAAUCCAAAAAAACAGAAGCAAAAACAUGAGGUAGUUUUAAAAAUGUUCUUUAAAGAAGAUGUAGAUGAAUAUAUGGAAGAGGUAUUAUAGCUAUUAUUUACUAAAAAAAUGUGAAGCUUUUCUACUUUAAUUUCUUUUGAGAACUAGGCUUUCAAAAAAAAAAUCGUGAGACUUUCUAGCACCUAUCUUUCUUGUUAUUAGGAUGACUUACAUUACAUUGUAUUUUUACACUUUAAAAAAUAUUGUCAUUUAGAAAAAAGGCAACUAAUUAUAAGGUGAAAUGAUACCAACUUAUAAUUUUUUUGUAGACUAUACAACAGAGCAAUAAACAUUGCAUAGGUGUAGUUCUAUACGCAUUUCAAUUAGUGAUAACUUUCCCAUUUCAAAACUAUUUCAAAAACUAAAAUAUAUUUUAAUAAAUGUGAUGCUUAAAAUUUUUGUUUUCUACUUUUUAGGUUAUUUUUUCCACAGAUGAAUUUCUAAUCCUAAAUAAUCAUUUACAUGAAUUCAGAUUUUUUUGAUCCAGGUAACUUUUUUCUCCACAUUUCUUGAGUAAUUUAUUUAACUUAAAAUACUUAACAGAAUGUAGAUUCUUUUUUAUUUCUUAUAUGCCAGGCAUGUGUCUAGAUUAUUUAAGAGACAAAUUACGAAUAAUCUUUUUCUUUUGUUUCUCUUGAGGAGAAGAUAUGUAAGUGGUGGCUCUGUUUGGUGGGAACUCUUAGGAAAACUGCUUGUUUCUAGUUCUAGGACAUACUUGCGCACCUUGGCCUGCCAUGCCUAACUGGGGUCAUAAGCCAUGUGACACUGGUGUCCACCUCACAUAGUGCCGCCCCCCCCACUGCCACCCCACCUAGGACUAGAUGCCAAAUGCUGACAUCAGCUGCUGCCGUGACGUUAUUGAUAGUUUGUUGUUGUUGUUGUUGUUUGGUUUGUUUUUGUUUGUUUUUGAGACAGGGUCUCACUCUGUCACCCAGGCUGGAGUGCAGUGGCACCAUCUCAGCCUACUGCAACCUCUACCUCCUGGGCUCAAGCAAUCCUUUUGCCUUAGCACCCCAAGUAGCUGAGACUACAGGCACAUGCCACUA